CAUUCUUCAAACUAGCUUCUUCAAUGGAUACUAACUGGGAUGGGGUGCCCAGGGCUGGCCCUCUCUCCUAGGGACUGCCUGGCUGCUCUAUUCAAAUUUCACAGGCCACGCACAGGCACAAACACGACCAGAAUGCAUCGCCCCUCAUCUGGCCUGGUUAGCUCUGAAACUGACAAGGAUCACCCGAGGGAGAAGUUAAGCUCCUCAUAAUGAAUGAGCGGUGUCAGGGAAAGAAGCAUGUUGCAAGCCUGAAUAAUGAAGGCAGGAAGUUUGUUCUGUAAUUGGAUUAGUUCUGCUGGGAACAUACUUUGUCUUGUAUCUUUGUCAGUCCUGGGCUGGCAGCUGGCCCCAGAGCCACGUGCAGCAUUAUCUGGAAGCCACCCAAACAGAGGGAGUAAGAGCACGGGCCAAACACGAAUACUUGGUGGAGUUCACUAACUGAGGAAUAGCUAGCCUUCUAAAAAAGAAAGAUCAUACAAUAGCCAAUUUUACCAGGGGGAUUGUUGAAAUUCCACUUCCUGUUUGCUCCGUGUGGACAGUUCACAUUGCAUCUUCCCAGCUGACCAUGGUGGCUCCAUGCAGCAAAUGCUCUCCUGCUUGGAGUACGCCUGAGUUAUUGGAUCUGCUGGCACUGUGGGGGGAGGAGGCUGUGCAGUCCAGCUCUGCUCCAGCCAUAGGGACUUAGAUACCUACAGUCAGACUUCUCAUGGCAUGUUGGAGAAAGGCUAUGAACUGGACACACAUCAGUGCCAUGCGAAGAUAAAAGACCUGAGGCAGGCGUACCAGAAGGCAAGGAAGUAAAACCAUCGCUCUGGUGCUGUGAUGAAUAUUCAACCCUCACAAGAAGGACCAGGUGUCUGUGCGGGAGCACAUCUAGAUAUGGAGGAUGUCAGAAUUUCACUUGAUGACCAGGAGAAGGGCUUGGAGAACACGGUUUUCGACUCCAUGGAAGAAGAGGGACUCCCUGAGGGAGCACAGAAUCCGCCUCCUGAGAACAACAGAGAUGAGAGAGCCAAACACCCCACCUUCUGGAG